rnacentral:rRNA from 1 species
UACGAAGGGGGCUAGCGUUGUUCGGAAUUACUGGGCGUAAAGCGCGCGCAGGCGGUCUUCCAAGUCAGUGGUGAAAGCCUGGAGCUCAACUCCAGAACUGCCUUCGAUACUGAGAGUCUCGAGUCCGGGAGAGGUGAGUGGAACUGCGAGUGUAGAGGUGAAAUUCGUAGAUAUUCGCAAGAACACCAGUGGCGAAGGCGGCUCACUGGCCCGGUACUGACGCUGAGGUGCGAAAGCGUGGGGAGCAAACAGG